rnacentral:rRNA from 1 species
UUUCGUAGGUGAACCUGCGGAGGGAUCAUUACCGAGUUAUACAACUCCCAAACCCACUGUGAACCUUACCUCAGUUGCCUCGGCGGGAACGCCCCGGCCGCCUGCCCCCGCGCCGGCGCCGGACCCAGGCGCCCGCCGCAGGGACCCCAAACUCUCUUGCAUUACGCCCAGCGGGCGGAAUUUCUUCUCUGAGUUGCACAAGCAAAAACAAAUGAAUCAAAACUUUCAACAACGGAUCUCUUGGUUCUGGCAUCGAUGAAGAACGCAGCGAAAUGCGAUAAGUAAUGUGAAUUGCAGAAUUCAGUGAAUCAUCGAAUCUUUGAACGCACAUUGCGCCCGCCAGCAUUCUGGCGGGCAUGCCUGUUCGAGCGUCAUUUCAACCCUCGAGCCCCCCCGGGGGCCUCGGUGUUGGGGGACGGCACACCAGCCGCCCCCGAAAUGCAGUGGCGACCCCGCCGCAGCCUCCCCUGCGUAGUAGCACACACCUCGCACCGGAGCGCGGAGGCGGUCACGCCGUAAAACGCCCAACUUUCUUAGAGUUGACCUCGGAUCAGGUAGGAAUACCCGCUGAACUUAAGCAUAUCAAUUAAGCGGAGAGAAA